AACGAACGCUGGCGGCAUGCCUAACACAUGCAAGUCGAACGAGAUCUUCGGGUCUAGUGGCGCACGGGUGCGUAACGCGUGGGAAUCUGCCCUUUGGUUCGGAAUAACAGUUGGAAACGACUGCUAAUACCGGAUGAUGACGAAAGUCCAAAGAUUUAUCGCCAGAGGAUGAGCCCGCGUAGGAUUAGCUAGUUGGUGUGGUAAAGGCGCACCAAGGCGACGAUCCUUAGAUGGUCUGAGAGGAUGAUCAGCCACACUGGGACUGAGACACGGCCCAGACUCCUACGGGAGGCAGCAGUGGGGAAUAUUGGACAAUUGGCGAAAGCCUGAUCCAGCAAUGCCGCGUGAGUGAUGAAGGCCUUAGGGUUGUAAAGCUCUUUUACCCGGGAUGAUAAUGACAGUACCGGGGGAAUAAGCUCCGGCUAACUCCGUGCCAGCCGCCGCAGUAA
rnacentral:rRNA from 1 species